CUGAUAUCUACACUACUAUAACAGGUCAGUUAUCUGGUGAUAGUAUAGUGUUCUGGCAUCUACACUACUAUAACAGGUCAGUAAUCUGGUGAUAGUAUAGUGUUCUGACAUCUACACUACUAUAACAGGUCAGUAAUCUGGUGAUAGUAUAGUGUUCUGAUAUCUACACUACUAUAACAGGUCAGUUAUCUGGUGAUAGUAUAGUGUUCUGACAUCUACACUACUAUAACAGGUCAGUUAUCUGGUGAUAGUAUAGUGUGCUGACAUCUACACUACUAUAACAGGUCAGUUAUCUAGUGAUAGUAUAAUCAACUGCCCUACAGUUAGAAUAGGAUGUUUGUCCCUAAUACUGGAAUUGGAGAUAGCUACACACCUGAUUCUACUAAUCAACCAGUCACAAUCCAAAUCAGUUAACUUAAUGCAUAGUCACUGUUUUCUACCAGAAGUGUUCUAUUACCAGUGGUCUAUUACCAGUGUUGUAUUACUAGUGUUGUAUUGCCAGUGUGUCAUGAGAAUUUUAAAUCCAAAUGAUAAUAACUAACAAUCAAUAAGCUUUGACUAAUCUCCAAGGUUUGUAAGAUACUGGGUUAAUAAUAAUUAGUCAAAGACUCAGCUUCUGCAAAAGGUUCGUACAGUUUAUUCAGAGAACGUUCUGAAGUCCAUUAUACAAAGACAUUCAUUUUAUAACUUGCUUCUUCCUUACGCACAUACAUCCACACAAACAGUAGGUGGGAUGUAUCCCUCCCCAGAGUUCUCACCACUGUUUAUCACUACCCAGCGCUGUCCGUUCCAUUCCCCAGAGAUUAGAGGAACCUUGAGAAGUACUCCCUGUCCUAUCAUAAGUUUAGUUCUAGCCAGGUUGAGCCAAACAAUCUCUAUUGUUCUCUGUAUUUUCUUAGGCACACACAUACACACAUACAUUUCUCUUCCUCACAGGUCUCUACUAAACCUUAUGGGUCCCUUAUCACAGUGUUGUACUACCAGUGUUGUAUUGCUAGUGUUGUAUUACUAGUGUUGUAUUACCAGUGUUCUUUUACCAGUGUUCUAUUACCAGUGUUCUAUCACCAGUGUUCUAUUACCAGUAUUGUAUUACCGGUGUUAUAUUACUAGUGUUCUAUUACCAGUGUUGCACUUCCAGUGUUGUACUACCAGUGUUGUAUUACUAGUAUUGUAUUACUAGUAUUGUAUUACCAGUGUUGUAUUACCAGUGUUGUAUUGCCAGUGUUGUAUUGCCAGUGUUGUAUUGCCAGUGUUGCAUUGCCGGUGUUAUAUUGCCGGUGUUGUAUUACCGGUGUUGUAUUACCGGUGUUGUAUUACCGGUGUUGUAUUACCAGUGUUCUAUUACCAGUUUUCUAUUACCAGUGUAAUAUUACCAGUGUUAUAUUACCAGUGUUGUAUUACCAAUGUUGUAUUACUAGUGUUGUAUUGCCAGUGUUGUAUUGCCAGUGUUGUAUUGCCAGUGUUGUAUUACUAGUGUUCUAUGACCAGUGUUGUAUUACAAAUGUUGUAUUACCAAUGUUGUAUUACCAAUGUUGUAUUACCAGUGUUGUAUUACCAGUGUUGUAUUGCCAGUGUUAUAUUACUAGUUUUCUAUUACCAGUGUUGUAUUGCCAGUGUUAUAUUACUAGUUUUCUAUUACCAGUGUUGUAUGACCAGUGUUCUACUACUAGUGUUCUAUGACCAAUGUUGUAUUACUAGUGUUCUAUGACCAG
rnacentral:lncRNA from 1 species